CGGACCCUUCAGGGGGCAGAGCUGUCUCUGGAUUAUUGAAGAGAUUCCCUCUAAAUCCAUGGCCUUCCCCGCUCCCCUGAAUUCCAGCGUUCAGAACUGCACCGAGCGGUUUUAGAAGGGUAUUCUUGUCAGAGUGAUGGAAAGCUGACAAGUGACCAAGGAGGGGGACACAGGGCUGGACUGAAGAGAGUGUGUUGAUGUGGAAACUCUGUGUGUGUGUACUGCAUUGGACACCAUGGCAAAGACCCCGGAGGAGGUGCGAACACGGGACUUGGAUGGCCCUUGGAAGCUUGGAGAAUGCAAGGACCCACGUGAAGUGAACAUAGACGUCAGAACUACAGUGGCACAUGUGAAAGGAUCCACGGCUCAAAAGUGAUGUUUAAGACCACAUCAAAUAAUAGUGCCAACACAACACAUUGAUAAUCCAUCGGGCACCAUUUUAAGGGCUUCCUAUCACCAGCUUAUUACAUCUCUGCUUCAGUCUCAUCUGUGGAGUUCCCAUCCUACAAUUGAAGAAGCUGAAAGAUGAAGGAAGAUGUCUUAGGCAUAAGAUGGCCGUGCCCUGAGCUGCUUUCCUCCACCGUGAAGUUGGCCCACCAAGAACUGCACUUCUGAAACCAUGAGCCAAAAUAAACUUUUCCUCUUCUAGGUUA